rnacentral:rRNA from 1 species
AUUGAACGCUGGCGGCAUGCCUUACACAUGCAAGUCGAACGGCAGCACGGAGCUUGCUCUGGUGGCGAGUGGCGAACGGGUGAGUAAUAUAUCGGAACGUACCCUAGAGUGGGGGAUAACGUAGCGAAAGUUACGCUAAUACCGCAUACGAUCUACGGAUGAAAGUGGGGGAUCGCAAGACCUCAUGCUCGUGGAGCGGCCGAUAUCUGAUUAGCUAGUUGGUAGGGUAAAAGCCUACCAAGGCAUCGAUCAGUAGCUGGUCUGAGAGGACGACCAGCCACACUGGAACUGAGACACGGUCCAGACUCCUACGGGAGGCAGCAGUGGGGAAUUUUGGACAAUGGGCGAAAGCCUGAUCCAGCAAUGCCGCGUGAGUGAAGAAGGCCUUCGGGUUGUAAAGCUCUUUUGUCAGGGAAGAAACGGUGAGGGCUAAUAUCCCUUGCUAAUGACGGUACCUGAAGAAUAAGCACCGGCUAACUACGUGCCAGCAGCCGCGGUAAUACGUGGGGUGCAAGCGUUAAUCGGAAUUACUGGGCGUAAAGCGUGCGCAGGCGGUUUUGUAAGUCUGAUGUGAAAUCCCCGGGCUCAACCUGGGAAUUGCAUUGGAGACUGCAAGGCUAGAAUCUGGCAGAGGGGGGUAGAAUUCCACGUGUAGCAGUGAAAUGCGUAGAUAUGUGGAGGAACACCGAUGGCGAAGGCAGCCCCCUGGGUCAAGAUUGACGCUCAUGCACGAAAGCGUGGGGAGCAGACAGG